AGUUCAGUGCGGCGAAUAAGUAACUGCAUGAGGUCUUCGGCCAAAGUCUCUAUACUGGAAUAGCGCACCUUCUCGAAGUCAAAAAUGUCUUUGAGAAAGAAAAGAACUUGAUUCUGGAAAAUGAACACAAAACAGGUGUACAACACAAUGAUUCAACAAGUCUGUACAUUACUCAGUGCUCACCAAGUAAUCUACACCCAACGAAGGGCUGGAACUCACAAUCCCAAGAUCAAGAGUUGUAUGCUCUACCAACUGAGCCAGCCAGUGGAAAUCCCAUGGCUGCCUCAAGAGGGAGAAGGACUUCAAAACAGGAGUGGCCGACCCAGUACCAGCAAGCCAUUCACCCAGCUUGAGGGGCCGUCCUUAUGAGCUGCUGCCCCACUUGAGGACUGACAGGAGCCUCAAAUCACUCAACAAAGAGGUCUAAGGCACAAUGAAAUUUACCUUCAUCUGUUGCCUUUUCUGUUUCAGCACUGACCAACAACUUGAAGCCACAGCCUAGAUAAAUGCAGAUGAGAAAAAGCAAGACUUAAAUUUAUAACUAUAUAAACUUUGCAUUAGGAGUGAUUUUUAUUAGAAAUUAAUAGGUUAUAAGUCUAAAAUGCCCAAAGCAUUAACCACUGAUAACAACUAGUCCAGGUUCCUUCUACUGUUUCUAAAUAAUAAUGAAAAGAUAUUUUGUUUUUAUAAAUUUUAAAAUCAAAUGCAAAGACACUGAAGGAAAAAGGUUAAACCCUGGUACCAGAAACUUGGUAACCAUAGUUCGACUCUCAGAGUUCUUCAAUUCUGUUCCGAUGGGAAAAGAGUGAAAAUGAAAAUAUGUGUACACAGAUACACAUAUACAACAAUUGUUUUAUGUGUAAUAAUGAAGACAAAGUAAUUUUUUUUUCUUCAAGAAUAGUACUGCUGGAGGGGCGCCUGGGUGGCUCAGUCGGUUGAGCGUCCGACUUUGGCUCAGGUCAUGGUCUCAUAGCUUGUAAGUUCGAGCCCUGCAUCAGGCUCUGUGCUGACAGCUCGGAGCCUGGAGCCUGCUUCAGAUUCAGCACCUUCCUCUCUCUCUGCCCCAACCCACUAGCAUUCUGUCUCUCUCUCUCUCAAAAAGAAAUAAACAUUUUAAAAAAAUUAAAAAAAAAAAAGAAUAGUACUGCUGGAAAUAGCUGUGGGUGGAGCUAAAAGUUUUAUUCUAAUAAAGAACUAAGAAAACAACCUUAAUGAUAGGGACUAAAACACCCAAGUGGAUCUUAAAGAAAUCUGGCAUGGCCCAACUUUGAUCAAGGUCACCUUACCAAAUCAGUUACAGAAAUGGGAGAACAUGUACCUUUUAUAGUUAAAGCACAUUUUAAGGGAAAAGUGGAUUUAUUAAAAAUGCUUUAAAAUAUAGUGGCAGGAAUUUCCAAAAUAAUUGUAAAACAGGCCCCUGGGACAUUUCUUAAAAGGCAUUCAAAUUGCAUCAUUGCAUUGAAUAUCUAUUCCACCUGCUUCCAGGUACACACUUAAAACACAACAAAGAAACAAUGUCAGAUAGAGAUUUGAAUACAAAAAAACAAGAGAAACUGAAAACAUUUAAAGUACAGAAUACAGUUUAAACUUGUUUUAUUUUUGCAUAUGCCUAUUUCUUUUCCUCCCCUAAUUUUUAAAAAAUUUUUACAAAUUUUUCAUUUUUAAGUUAUUUCUACACCCAAUGUGGGGAUUGAACUCACAACCCCAAUAUCAAGAGUCACAUGCUCUACCGGCUGAGCCAGCCAGGCACCCCUUUCUCCCCUAAUUUUUGAUAUUAUUUGAGAACAUGAAUCUCCAGAUCUUCCUCUAAGAAAUACAUACUGUCUGUUUACAACCGCUAUAUCUCAGUUUGGUCAUAGAGACAGUUCAGUUACAAUUUUUGGUUAGGCCUGAACGAGUCUGAAGCCUGAGUUUAUUUCGAGAUCUGAAGAAAUACUGGGUCCUCCAGGUCAAGAGAGGGACUGACAGAAGAGCCAAAGGGCAAUUUCAUCUGAAGAUACAGUGUAUCAUACACGUCUGAUCCCAAUAUCAAAGAAUGAGCUCAGUUUCCACACUAGUCAUUCUAUAGGUAGAUAUAUAAAUAAAUCCUAUUAAUCUUCCCGGUUCUGACCAUUUUUCAUCAAAUUGAAAUGGUUGAGAAAAAGGAAAACCACCACUUACAGUUUC